CUUAUUCUAUCAGUAGGUGGUAUAACACACAUCUCACGCUUUUCUUUAGCAAUCUGAUUUUGAUAUUAAACUAGUGAAAGAACCCGCGGUUCACAGCGGGUAAAAAUUAUGAAAGUAAUUAAUAAUAAGAUAACAUCAAAUAUUCUCUUGUAUUCCUUACUUGACACAAUCACGAGAGAUCACUCACUAUUGGUAGUAGGGAUGAAACCGACAACGCUUUCUCUGGCGAUGCUGAUAGUGAAAAUGACGACGAUUCCUUCGGCAACGGCGGAUGGGGAUAAUAGGCGCGCAUUUGUGAGAAAGGGAGGGAGGGAAGCUACGGUGUAUGGGAAAAAGUGAGAAAGAGAGUAUUGAUGACUUAAUUGGAGAUGAAAAAUCUGAUGGAGAAAAAGUUUGGUAGUGAAAACGUUUAGAUGUAUUAAUUAAAUGUAUUAAUUGAAAGUUUGAUAAAAAAAAAAAAGUGUCAAAUACUGGUGAAGAUGAAGGACAACUUGCCAUUGAAAAUUUGGUAAUGAUAACGUUUGGAUGUAUUAAUUAACUAAAUAUAUUAAUUGAAAGUUUGAAGAAGAAAAUAGAAAGAAUCAAAUGAUGGUGAUGGUGAAUGACAACUUGCCAUGCGGCAAAAAAUAUUGGGGAUUCAUAUAGAUUUAUUUAUAGAUUUAU
rnacentral:lncRNA from 1 species